rfam:Ciona savignyi cont_59471, whole genome shotgun sequence.
GACUCCGUGGCGCAACGGUAGCGCGUCCGACUCUCAGAUCGGAAGGUUGCGUGUUUCAAAUCACGUCGGGGUCA